CUUUAUGCCAUCAUUAUUUUCAUGUCAUCGGAAAUGCACAUUGUCACGAUUUAGUCUCUAAGCCAUGUUGCCCAACUUACGUCUACACAGAAUUAAAUUGGCUGAAUCCUGCAUGGAAGACGGUCAAUGAAAAACCAGUGCGUAGACUGCCAUCUACUGGACAACCAGAAAACAAACUGCUGAGUCGCCCUAGGACCUUGAGCAACAAAGGCAAAAAGGCAAAAUUAUGAAUACAUCAGUGGAACAGACAGGAGCAUGUAGGCACAACAAUGGUCCAGUUUGAAAUGAUU
rnacentral:lncRNA from 1 species